UACGUAGGGGGCAAGCGUUGUCCGGAUUUAUUGGGCGUAAAGGGCGGGUAGGCGGCCACCGCAAGUCAGUUGUGAAAUCUCUGGGCUUAACCCAGAAAGGUCAACUGAUACUGCGGGGCUAGAGUGCAGAAGGGGCAACUGGAAUUCUCGGUGUAGCGGUGAAAUGCGUAGAUAUCGAGAGGAACACCUGCGGCGAAGGCGGGUUGCUGGGCUGACACUGACGCUGAACUGCGAAAGCUAGGGGAGCGAACGGG
rnacentral:rRNA from 1 species